rnacentral:rRNA from 1 species
CCUACGGGUGGCAGCAGUGAGGAAUAUUGGUCAAUGGGCGGGAGCCUGAACCAGCCAAGUCGCGUGAGGGACGACGGCCCUAUGGAUUGUAAACUUCUUUUGUCGGGGAACAAAGGCGCCCACGUGUGGCCGGAUGAGUGUAUCCGAAGAAAAAGCAUCGGCUAACUCCGUGCCAGCAGCCGCGGUAAUACGGAGGAUGCGAGCGUUAUCCGGAUUUAUUGGGUUUAAAGGGUGCGUGGGCGGUCCGUCAAGUCAGCGGUAAAAGUGCGGUGCUCAACGCCGUAGAGCCGUUGAAACUGGCAGUCUUGAGUGGAGGAGAGGUAGGCGGAAUGCGUGGUGUAGCGGUGAAAUGCAUAGAUAUCACGAAGAACUCCGAUUGCGAAGGCAGCUUACCGGCGUGCGACUGACGUUGAGGCACGAAAGCGUGGGUAUCGAACAGGAUUAGAUACCCGGGUAGUC